rnacentral:rRNA from 1 species
GGUGAACGCUGGCGGCGUGCCUAAUACAUGCAAGUCGAGCGACAACACAAUGAUCUUUCUCUUCUGCCGUUAGCGUCUGACGGGUGUGUAACACUUUCAUCACCUACUUCUUAUACUUGGAUCAUUUCUGGAAACCGGCUCUCCUACCGGCUAAUACUUUCUACCGCAUGGUUCAAUAGUUCUUGACUCUUUUUCUGUCUCCUAUAGCUGUAUCCGCUCUGCAUUAGCUAGUUGGUAAGGUAACGGCUUACCAAGGCUACGAUGCGUAGCCGACCUGAGAGGAUGAUCAGCAAAACUGGAACUGAGACACGGUCCAGACUACUACGGGAGGCAGCAGUAGGGAAUAUUCCGCAAUGGGCGAAAGCCUGACGGAGCAAUGCCGCGUGAAUGAUGAAGGUCUUCGGAUCGUAAAACUCUGUUAUUAGGGAAGAACAAAUGUGGAAGUAACUAUGCACGUCUUGACGGUACCUAAUGAGAAAGCCACGGCUAACUACGUG